rnacentral:tRNA from 1 species
GGGGUUGUGGCUCAGUGAUAGAGUGCUUGCCUACCAUGUAUGAGACACUGAGUUCAAUUCUUAGCACCA